GGAAGACUGGUGGUUCACAUUGUUCAUCCAUAAUAUUCCACUUUAGUAUAUUAUUAUACUGGCACACUUAUGGGUUAUGGGGUAUGAAUUCUGUCCCCCCUCACAUACUUUGGCAGAUCACUGAAAUAUUUAUCACUGAAAUUAUCGUAUUAAUAUCUCACUGAUAAUUUAUGUGAUUCAAUUAUAUUCAAAUAUUUUUUUUUUUGCUUUACUUUACCCAUUAGAGCAUAUGAAAUUUCUG
rnacentral:misc_RNA from 1 species